UGAGUUUUCAGGCCAAAAGCUGGCAAAGGUUGCCAUGCAGUCUUCAGGCUCAUUGACCAAGAGCCCCUUCCUCCACCUGAAACAUUCCCUGAAGAUCCUGUAAAUAAAUACAGAGUCUUCACAGCACAUUGAGGAAGAUGUUAUUACCACUUUACAAAUGAAGAAUCCAAAGCUUGAAGAGGUUAAAGGACUUCCUCAAUAAUGCAAAGAUAGUAAGGGGUAAUGCCAGGAUUCAACUCAGACACACUGACUGCUGUUGCAGACCUCCAUGUGAUAACUCAUAAUAAUAACGCCAACUAUGCUAUUAGGUAGGAUUGUUGUGAAUACUCAUUGAAAUCGUUCAUAUAAAAGCCCAUCACACCUUGCCUGGCCAGGUAGCAAGAGCUCAAGGAAUGCUGUGAUUAUGCAGUAGUUGUGCCAAGAUGCAGAUCCAGCUCUGAUUGAUGCCAAUAUCUGUGCUCUUGGCCACUGAUGCUGAACAGCCAUCAGUGUAACUUCAGUGUUUCCAUCAGAUAGUAUUGGGAACAGCUGAAAGGCAUUAAAAAAGAAAGAGGAGGACUGGAACGAAACAUUUUUUCAAGAAUUAGUUUCAGUCACACAGAUAGAAUUCAAUGAUAGGAAUUGAAUUGAAUUGAAACGUAAGGAAUGACUUCCUUUGAUUCCCUGAGGAAGAAAGUCACACAGGUGUGGCCCAUUUACUACUUCUUCAUAAAUAGAAAUCUGUCAGAUUUAUGAGACUAAGUGCCAAUGGGAGAAAACAAAGAAAAAAUAUGUUUGCAGAAUGCAUCUGGAUUUCUGCUUAUGACCAAGAUAGGGUAACAGAAACAAGGUUUACCCUCCGAUAUGGUUUGGAUCUGCAUCUCUGCCCAAAUCUCAUGUCAAAUUAUAAUCCCCAGUGUUGGGAGAGGGGCCUGAUGGGAGGUGAUUGGAUCAUGGAGGUGGCUUUCUCCCUUGCUAUUCUUGUAAUCGUGAGUUCUCAUGAGAUCUGGUUGUUAAGAAGUGUGUAGCACCUCCCCCUUCUUUCCCUUCCUCCUGCUCUGAACAUAUGAAGACAUGCCUGCUUCCCCUUCAACUUCCACCAUGACUGUAAGUUUCCUGAGGCCUCCCCAGCUAUGCUUCCUGUACAGCCUGUGGAACUGUGAGCUAAUUAAACUUUUCUUUAUAAAUUA